rnacentral:rRNA from 1 species
CAAUUAAAGUUUCGACGGUAUAUGAUUGAUGUGCGUUUGAUUAGCUUGUUGGUAGGGUAACGGCUACAAGGCGACGAUCAAUAGCUGGCGUGAGAGCGCGACCAGCCACACUGGAACUGAGACACGGUCCAGACUCCUACGGGAGGCAGCAGUAGGGAAUAUUGGACAAUGGGCGAAAGCCUGAUCCAGCCAUGCCGCGUGAUAGAUGAAGGCCCUCUGGGUUGUAAAUAUCUUUUAUCUGGGAAGAAACAAUCUUAUUCUUAAGAUCUUGACGGUACCAGAGGAAUAAGCACCGGCUAACUCCGUGCCAGCAGCCGCGGUAAUACGGAGGGUGCAAGCGUUAUCCGGAUUCACUGGGUUUAAAGGGUGCGUAAGGCGGGCUGAUAAGUCAGUGGUGAAAGCUCCGAGCUUAACUUUGGAAAUUGCCAUUGGAUACUGUAAGUCUUGGAAUAUCGUAAGGUAAGCCGGAAUUGUUGCAUGUACGGUGAAAUGUUAAUUUUGUUACGGGAACACCAAUUGCGAAGGGCAGGUUUAACUAUGGGAAUGAUUGACGCCUGGAGGCACGAAAAGCGUGGGGAAGCCAAACCGGGAUUAAAAUAC